AAAAAUAUAAAUGAAAAAAAUAUGUAUGAAAUUAUUUGUGUUUAGUUAUAUAAGAAAAGAAAAUAAAUAAAUUGUUAACUCUGUCUUUCUCUAUAUUUAAAUAAAAAAACAAAAAUUAUAAUUAAAAAAAAAAAAAAAUCAUCAACAUAAAACCACCGAUACAAGACACACAGAUACGAGUUGAGUAAAAAAUCAGAGAUGAUGAAGUUUUAUUAAAAAAAGAUUGACAAAUUAUAUGUAAACUUGAUGUGAACAUGCACCAAACUUUUCGCUUCCGUUAAUGUUUUUCCAAAUAAAAAAUAAAAUUAAAUCAUAAAUUUUAUUAUAAACAAAAACAAAAAUAUUUCCAUUAAAGUUAAAAAAAAAAAAAAUACAAAAAAAAUAUUAAUAAGCAUUUCGCGAUGUUUAUUCGCCGUGUAGAUGCUCAAAUUAUUACGUGUUCCUUGCAAAAUCCGUCUACUUCUGUUUAAUGCUACAAAAAUCACAAAACUAAAAAUUAAACAGCAUUACGAAAAAAUAAAAAAAAAAAAAAAAACAAACAAAUGUUUUUUAACCAAAAAAAUAUAUUAUUAUAUUUUGUUUAUACCUCAAAUAUAUAUAAAUGUUAUUAAUAUAAAAAGAAAAAAAUAAUAUGUAUUAUCCCAAAAGUGUCUUAUUAAAAAAAAAAUCAACAGAAAAAAAAUUACACAUAAAAUCCUUUUUGUAAACAAAAUAGUUGAACAUUAAAUUUAAAUUUAACAAAAAAAAAAAAAACAAUAUUUUUUACGUUAUUGCUUCUUAGAUAAAAAAAAAAAAAAACAAAUUAAAUUCAAAUUAUAUAUAAAUAUAUAUUUAAAAAAAAUUAAUGUAUUUAUAAAUGUUUUAUAUAUAUUUAGUGUAUUAUUGUAUUAAUAAAACAUAAACAAAAUAAAUAAAGAUUGUAUAAGCCCCCCAAUGGAAUACAUAAACCCUUAUGGAUGUGAACACACAAAACAAAAAAAACAAAAAUGCGCUUUAAUGUUGUGUAAAAAUUAGUUAAAAUUUUUGUAUGUAAAAUUUAAUUUUUUUUAUUUUUUAAUAAAAUUGCUAAAAACCGGU